ensembl:snRNA U6 U6 spliceosomal RNA
GUGCUCAUUUCGGCAGCACAUAUACUAAAAUUGGAAUGAUACAGAGAAGAUUAGCACGGCCCCUGCGCAAGGGUGACACACAAAUUCGUGAAGCUUCCAUAUUUUU